CACUGGAUACAAUUAAUAAGUGUCUUUCUGAAGCAAUUUGCGCUCUGUCACGUGGUAGAUUGGAUGGUGAGAGUCAGACUUCUAGCCUCAUUCAUUCUGGCAAUGAGAUUUUGGAGAUGGACAAAUGUUAUCCUGAAGUCAGUCUUCAAGAGAGGGAUCAGGUUCUAGAACAACAAACUGUAUUGAGAUAGCUGGAGGCAAUUUUGUCUAUCCACAAGUUGGCGAGGUUAGGGCAUUAUUUAGAUGCCUUGAGGAGGGAGGUUGCCAAACUUCCGUUUCUUCCAUUAGUUCCACGAGCGCCAAAUGUUACAGCUGAUGUGUUUCGGCAUUUAUCUCCUCACGUCCAAGCUUGCGUGCCAGACCUUUUGAAGGUUGCUCUAACUUGUCUGGACAAUGUUACAGACACUGAUGGAUCACUUCGUGCCAUGAGGGCAAAGAUCGCGAACUUUCUUGCAAACAAUAUGAAUCAGAAUUGGCCUCGCGAUUUGCACGAAAAGGUUGCUCGAAGCUUGUGAAGCAAAC